GAUGAACGCUGGCGGCGUGCUUAACACAUGCAAGUCGAACGGUGAAGGCGGAGCUUGCUCUGCUGGAUCAGUGGCGAACGGGUGAGUAACACGUGAGCAAUCUGCCCCUGACUCUGGGAUAAGCGCUGGAAACGGCGUCUAAUACUGGAUACGAGCUGCGAAGGCAUCUUCAGCAGCUGGAAAUAACUUCGGUCAGGGAUGAGCUCGCGGCCUAUCAGCUUGUUGGUGAGGUAACGGCUCACCAAGGCGUCGACGGGUAGCCGGCCUGAGAGGGUGACCGGCCACACGAGGACUGAGACACGGACCAGACUCCAACGGGAGGCAGCAGUGGGGAAUAUUGCACAAUGGGCGAGAGCCUGAUGCAGCAACGCCGCGUGAGUGACGACGGCCUUCGGGUUGUAAACCUCUUUUGGCAGGGAAGAAGCGAAAGUGACGGUACCUGCAGAAAAAGCGCCGGCUAACUACGUG
rnacentral:rRNA from 1 species